UACGUAGGGUGCAAGCGUUGUCCGGAAUUAUUGGGCGUAAAGAGCUCGUAGGCGGUCUGUCGCGUCUGCUGUGGAAACUCAGGGCUUAACCCUGAGCUUGCAGUGGGUACGGGCAGACUAGAGUGCGGUAGGGGAGACUGGAAUUCCUGGUGUAGCGGUGAAAUGCGCAGAUAUCAGGAGGAACACCGGUGGCGAAGGCGGGUCUCUGGGCCGUAACUGACGCUGAGGAGCGAAAGCAUGGGGAGCGAACAGG
rnacentral:rRNA from 1 species